rnacentral:rRNA from 1 species
CAGUAGCCGCGGGAAUACGUAGGUGGCAAGCGUUAUCCGGAAUUAUUGGGCGUAAAGCGCGCGUAGGCGGUUUUUUAAGUCUGAUGUGAAAGCCCACGGCUCAACCGUGGAGGGUCAUUGGAAACUGGAAAACUUGAGUGCAGAAGAGGAAAGUGGAAUUCCAUGUGUAGCGGUGAAAUGCGCAGAGAUAUGGAGGAACACCAGUGGCGAAGGCGGCUUUCUGGUCUGCAACUGACGCUGAUGUGCGAAAGCGUGGGGAUCAAACAGGAUUAGAUACCCCAGUAGUCCCUGUCUCUUAUAA